rnacentral:rRNA from 1 species
AAUGAACGCUGACGGCAGGCCUAACACAUGCAAGUCGAACGGAUCCUUCGGGAUUAGUGGCGGACGGGUGAGUAACGCGUGGGAACAUACCCUUUGGUACGGAAUAGCCUCGGGAAACUGGGAGUAAUACCGUAUGUGGUCGAGAGACGAAAGAUUUAUCGCCAAAGAAUUGGCCCGCGUUGGAUUAGGUAGUUGGUGGGGUAAUGGCCUACCAAGCCGACGAUCCAUAGCUGGUUUGAGAGGAUGAUCAGCCACACUGGGACUGAGACACGGCCCAGACUCCUACGGGAGGCAGCAGUGGGGAAUCUUAGACAAUGGGGGAAACCCUGAUCUAGCCAUGCCGCGUGAUCGAUGAAGGCCUUAGGGUUGUAAAGAUCUUUCAGGUGGGAAGAUAAUGACUGUACCACCAGAAGAAGCCCCGGCUAACUCCGUGCCAGCAGCCGCCGUAACAC